rnacentral:rRNA from 1 species
CAGCCGCGGUAACACAUGCAAGUCGAGGGGUAGCAGGAUGUAGCAAUACAUUGCUGACGACCGGCAGACGGGUGAGUAACGCGUAUGCAAUCUGCCUUAUACAGGAAGAUAACCCGGAGAAAUCCGGACUAAUAUUCCAUAGAUUAUUUGAGUGGCAUCAUUUGGAUAAUAAAGAUUUAUUGGUAUAAGAUGAGCACGCGUAUCAUUAGAUAGUUGGUGAGGUAACGGCUCACCAAGUCGACGAUGAUUAGGGAUUCUGAGAGGAUUUUCCCCCACACCGGGACUGAGACACGGCCCGGACUCCUACGGGAGGCAGCAGUGAGGAAUAUUGGUCAAUGGACGCAAGUCUGAACCAGCCAUGCCGCGUGCAGGUAACGGCCCUACGGGUCUUAAACUGCUUUUGUAACAGAACAAUAAGUUCCACGAGUGGGACGAUGAGAGUAUGUUAGGAAUAAGCAUCGGCUAACUCCGUGCCAGCCGCCGCGGUAAGAC